CCUACGGGUGGCAGCAGUGAGGAAUAUUGGUCAAUGGACGAGAGUCUGAACCAGCCAAGCAGCGUGAAGGAUGACUGCUCUAUGGGUUGUAAACUUCUUUUAUAAAGGAAUAAAACGAGGCACGUGUGCCUGUUUGCAUGUACUUUAUGAAUAAGGAACGGCCAACUCCGUGCCAGCAGCCGCGGUAAUACGGAGGAUCCGAGCGUUAUCCGGAUUUAGUGGGUUUAAAGGGAGCGUAGAUGGGUUGUUAAGUCAGUCGUGAAAGUUUGCGGCUCAACCGUAAAAUUGCAAUUGAGACUGGGAGUCUUGAGUGCAGUUGAGGUAAGCGGAAUUCGUGGUGUAGCGGUGAAAUGCUGAGAUAUCAGGAAGAACCCCGGUGGCGAAGGCAGCUUACUAAACUGUGACUGACAUUGAGGCUCGAAAGUGUGGGUAUCAAACAGGAUUAGAUACCCUUGUAGUC
rnacentral:rRNA from 1 species